rnacentral:rRNA from 1 species
GCACAGAGUUAGCCGUCUCUUCCUCUUGUGUUACCAUCAAUUUGCCAUGCUAUUAACACGACGACCUUGUUCACACAUGCACAGGAGUUUACAAUCCGAAGACCUUAUCCUCCACGCGGCGUCGCUCCAUCAGGGUUGCCCCCAUUGUGAAAGAUUCUCGA